rnacentral:rRNA from 3 species
UUAGAUGUCCGGGGCCGCACGCGCGCUACACUGAAGGAAACAGCGUGUGUUCUCCCGGUCCGGCGGGACCGGGUAACCCGCUGAACCUCCUUCGUGAUAGGGAUAGGGGAUUGUAACUGUUCCCCUCGAACGAGGAAUUCCUAGUAGUCGCGGAUCAAAAGUCCGCGGCGAUUAGGUCCCUGCCCUUUGUGCACACCGCCCGUCGCUACUAGCGAUUGAAUGGAUUAGUGAGGUCUUCGGACCGGCGUUCGUUCCCGGUCUUCGGACCGGGGGGUCCUGCCGGAAAGAUGACCGAACUUGUCCGUUUAGAGGUAGUAAAAGUCGUAACAAGGUUACC